rnacentral:rRNA from 1 species
GACGAACGCUGGCGGCGUGCCUAAUACAUGCAAGUGGGACGCAAGGGAACACACUGUGCUUGCACACCGUGUUUUCUUGAGUCGCGAACGGGUGAGUAACGCGUAGGUAACCUGCCUAUUAGCGGGGGAUAACUAUUGGAAACGAUAGCUAAUACCGCAUAAUAUUAAUUAUUGCAUGAUAAUUGAUUGAAAGAUGCAAGCGCAUCACUAGUAGAUGGACCUGCGUUGUAUUAGCUAGUUGGUAAGGUAAGAGCUUACCAAGGCGACGAUACAUAGCCGACCUGAGAGGGUGAUCGGCCACACUGGGACUGAGACACGGCCCAGACUCCUACGGGAGGCAGCAGUAGGGAAUCUUCGGCAAUGGACGAAAGUCUGACCGAGCAACGCCGCGCUAGUGAAGAAGGUUUUCGGAUCGUAAAGCUCUGUUGUAAGUCAAGAACGUGUGUGAGAGUGGAAAGUUCACACAGG